ACGCUCGACACCUACGGGGGGCAGCAGUGGGGAAUAUUGCACAAUGGGGGAAACCCUGAUGCAGCGACGCCGCGUGAAGGAAGAAGUAUCUCGGUAUGUAAACUUCUAUCAGCAGGGAAGAAAAUGACGGUAUCUGACUAAGAAGCCCCGGCUAACUACGUGCCAGCAGCCGCGGUAAUCUGAGCGGGCUGGCAAGGC
rnacentral:rRNA from 1 species